rnacentral:rRNA from 1 species
CGCAGGAGACGAGCGUUAUCCGGAUUUACUGGGCGUAAAGCGUGUGCAGGCGGUUCGGCAAGUUGGAUGUGAAAUCUCCCGGCUCAACUGGGAGGGGUCGUUCAAAACUACCGAACUUGAGGUCAUCAGAGGAAGGUGGAAUUCCGGGUGUAGUGGUGAAAUGCGUAGAUAUCCGGAGGAACACCAGUGGCGAAGGCGGCCUUCUGGGAUGAUCCUGACGCUCAGACACGAAAGCUAGGGGAGCGAACGGGAUUAGAGACCCCGGUAGUCCUAGCUGUAAACGAUGUAGACUUGGCGUCGGAGGGUUCAAAACCUUCGGUGUCGUAGCUAACGCGAUAAGUCUACCGCCUGGGGACUACGGCCGCAAGGUUA